rnacentral:rRNA from 1 species
CGCGUAGGCGGUUUUGUAAGUCAGGUGUGAAAUCCCGGGGCUCAACCCCGGAAGUGCAUUUGAUACUGCAAGACUUGAGUAUGGGAGGGGGAAGUGGAAUUCCUGGUGUAGAGGUGAAAUUCGUAGAUAUCAGGAGGAACACCAGUGGCGAAGGCGACUUCCUGGACCAAUACUGACGCUGAUGCGCGAAGGCGUGGGGAGCAAACAG